rnacentral:rRNA from 1 species
GUGGGGAAUUUUGGACAAUGGGCGAAAGCCUGAUCCAGCAAUGCCGCGUGCAGGAUGAAGGCCCUCGGGUUGUAAACUGCUUUUGUACGAAACGAAAAGCCUGGGGCUAAUAUCCCCGGGUCAUGACGGUACCGUAAGAAUAAGCACCGGCUAACUACGUGCCAGCAGCCGCGGUAAUACGUAGGGUGCAAGCGUUAAUCGGAAUUACUGGGCGUAAAGCGUGCGCAGGCGGUUUUGUAAGACAGUGGUGAAAUCCCCGGGCUCAACCUGGGAACUGCCAUUGUGACUGCAAGGCUAGAGUGCGGCAGAGGGGGAUGGAAUUCCGCGUGUAGCAGUGAAAUGCGUAGAUAUGCGGAGGAACACCGAUGGCGAAGGCAAUCCCCUGGGCCUGCACUGACGCUCAUGCACGAAAGCGUGGGGAGCAAACAGGAUUAGAAACCCUUGUAGUCC